rnacentral:misc_RNA from 1 species
UUUCCGUAGGUGAACCUGCGGAAGGAUCAUUAUUGUAUAACCGAGGUGCGAGGGCUGUCGCUGCCCCGACAGGUCGUGCACGCCCGAGUGCCCUCACACACAUCCAUCUCACCCCUAUGUGCACCACCGCGUGGGUCCCCCUUUGGCUUGUUCGGAGGGGGGCUUACGUUUUCACACAAACUUUGUAUGCAGUGUAGAAUGUAUUUUUUGUUUUUGCGAUCACGCAAUCAAUACAACUUUCAACAACGGAUCUCUUGGCUCUC